UACAGGGGGGGGCAAGCGUUGUUCGGAAUUACUGGGCGUAAAGCGCACGUAGGCGGAUCGAUCAGUCAGGGGUGAAAUCCCAGAGCUCAAGCUCUGGAACUGCCUUUGAUACUGUCGAUCUGGAGUAUGGAAGAGGUGAGUGGAAUUCCGAGUGUAGAGGUGAAAUUCGUAGAUAUUCGGAGGAACACCAGUGGCGAAGGCGGCGUCACUGGUCCAUUACUGACGCUGGAGGUGCGAAGGCGUGGGGAGCAAACACGG
rnacentral:rRNA from 1 species